AUUGAACGCUGGCGGCAGGCCUAACACAUGCAAGUCGAACGGUAACAGGCAACAUCUUGCUGUUUCGCUGACGAGUGGCGGGCGGGUGAGUAAUGUCUGGGAAACUGCCUGCUGGAGGGGGAUAACUACUGGAAACGGUAGCUAAUACCUCAUAACGUCGCAAGCCCAAAGAGGGGGACCUUCGUGCCUCUUGCCAUCGGAUGUGCCCAGGUGGGAUUAGCUAGUCGGUGGGGUAACGGCUCACCUAGGCGACGAUCCCUAGCUGGUCUGAGAGGAUGACAAGCGACACUGGAACUGAGACACGGUCCAGACGCCUACGGGAGGCAGCAGUGGGGAAUAUGGCACAGAGGGCGCAAGCAUGAUGCAGCCAGGCCGCGUGUAUGAAGAAGGCCUUCGGGUUGUAAAGUACGUUCAGCGGGGAGGAAGGGAGUAAAGUUAAGACCUUGACUCAUUGACGUUACCCGCAGAAGAAGCACCGGCUAACUCCGUG
rnacentral:rRNA from 1 species